rnacentral:rRNA from 1 species
AAUAGAUACCCGGGUAGUCCACGCCGUAAACGAUGAGUGCUAAGUGUUAGAGGGUUUCCGCCCUUUAGUGCUGCAGCUAACGCAUUAAGCACUCCGCCUGGGGAGUACGGUCGCAAGACUGAAACUCAAAGGAAUUGACGGGGGCCCGCACAAGCGGUGGAGCAUGUGGUUUAAUUCGAAGCAACGCGAAGAACCUUACCAGGUCUUGACAUCCCACUGACCGGUAUAGAGAUAUACCUUUCCCUUCGGGGACAGUGGUGACAGGUGGUGCAUGGUUGUCGUCAGCUCGUGUCGUGAGAUGUUGGGUUAAGUCCCGCAACGGGCGCAACCCUUGAUCUUAGUUGCCAGCAUUUAGUUGGGCACUCUAAGGUGACUGCCGGUGACAAACCGGAGGAAGGUGGGGAUGACGUCAAAUCAUCAUGCCCCUUAUGACCUGGGCUACACACGUGCUACAAUGGAUGGUACAAAGGGCUGCAAGACUGCGAAGUCAAGCCAAUCCCAUAAAACCAUUCUCAGUUCGGAUUGCAGGCUG